GUCGAGCGAAGCGCUGUUUUCAGAAUCUUCGGAGGAAGAGGACAGUGACUGAGCGGCGGACGGGUGAGUAACGCGUGGGCAACCUGCCUCAUACAGGGGGAUAACAGUUAGAAAUGACUGCUAAUACCGCAUAAGCGCACAGGACCGCAUGGUGUAGUGUGAAAAACUCCGGUGGUAUGAGAUGGACCCGCGUCUGAUUAGGUAGUUGGUGGGGUAAAGGCCUACCAAGCCGACGAUCAGUAGCCGACCUGAGAGGGUGACCGGCCACAUUGGGACUGAGACACGGCCCAAACUCCUACGGGAGGCAGCAGUGGGGAAUAUUGCACAAUGGGGGAAACCCUGAUGCAGCGACGCCGCGUGAAGGAAGAAGUAUUUCGGUAUGUAAACUUCUAUCAGCAGGGAAGAAAAUGACGGUACCUGAGUAAGAAGCACCGGCUAAAUACGUGCCAGCAGCCGCGGUAAUACGUAUGGUGCAAGCGUUAUCCGGAUUUACUGGGUGUAAAGGGAGCGUAGACGGAUAGGCAAGUCUGGAGUGAAAACCCAGGGCUCAACCCUGGGACUGCUUUGGAAACUGCAGAUCUGGAGUGCCGGAGAGGUAAGCGGAAUUCCUAGUGUAGCGGUGAAAUGCGUAGAUAUUAGGAGGAACGCCAGUGGCGA
rnacentral:rRNA from 1 species